rnacentral:rRNA from 1 species
GCUCAGAACGAACGCUGGCGGCGUGGAUUAGGCAUGCAAGUCGCACGAGGGAGCGUCCCGAAAGGGGCGCAAACCGAGUGGCGUAAGGGUGAGUAAUGCAUUGAUAACCUACCUUUGAGAUGGGAACAACAACGUUCCAAGUAAUUGGGGCUACCGAAAGGGUUGCUAAUUCUCAAUAAAAAUGCUGACACUUUGGUGUCGGCAGUCAAAGAAAUGGAUCUGGAAAGGUCCAUUUGCUCAGAGAGGGGUCAAUGUCCUAUCAGCUAGUUGGUAGGGUAAUGGCCUACCAAGGCGAAGACGGGUAGCCGG